AGUGAACGCUGGCGGUAGGCCUAACACAUGCAAGUCGAACGGCAGCACAGUAAGAGCUUGCUCUUACGGGUGGCGAGUGGCGGACGGGUGAGGAAUACAUCGGAAUCUACUUUUUCGUGGGGAUAACGUAGGGAAACUUACGCUAAUACCGCAUACGACCUACGGGUGAAAGCAGGGGAUCUUCGGACCUUGCGCGAUUGAAUGAGCCGAUGUCGGAUUAGCUAGUUGGCGGGGUAAAGGCCCACCAAGGCGACGAUCCGUAGCUGGUCUGUGAGGAUGAUCAGCCACACUGGAACUGAGACACGGUCCAGACUCCUACGGGAGGCAGCAGUGGGGAAUAUUGGACAAAGGGCGCAAGCCUGAUCCAGCCAUACCGCGUGGGUGAAGAAGGCCUUCGGGUUGUAAAGCCCUUUUGUUGGGAAAGAAAAGCAGCAGGUUAAUACCCCGCUGUUCUGACGGUACCCAAAGAAUAAGCACCGGCUAACUUCGUG
rnacentral:rRNA from 1 species